rfam:Gasterosteus aculeatus cont1.003941, whole genome shotgun sequence.
UUUAAAGUGUAAUGUAAGUCGCUUUGGAUAAAAGCGUCUCCUAAAUGACCUGUA